GACAGAACCAUGAUGAGAAUUCAUUCUCCUGACUCCAGGCCUGUGCUCUUUCCAUUAGGCACCCUGAUUGUUUGGGUCUUCAUUCUGGACCUGGGAAACAACUCUCCUUCAAUCCAGUUGAUAAUGGGAAAGAAUAAAAAAUUGUCCACUUUGAUUAUCCUACUCACUUUUCAGGGUAAUUAUGUUAUUUUAAAAGUUGCCAGAAUCCAGAAUCCAGUCAAACACUUUUUUUAUUUUUUUUGGAGCACCUCCUGUGUGGCAAGACUGUACUCCAAAGUUGGGAGAGAACAUAAGAAUUAGAAGGCUUGAUGUAAGAUCAAGGUCUUACAGUUGAUCAGAAAAGGUUGACCCAAAAGAAUUUACAGAUGAGGAAAUGGGAAGAAUGGCUGGUAUCAAAUUCUUAUACAAGAGGAGGCCUGUGGGAAAUUUAAGCCUCCCUGUUGGUCCAGUGGAAAGAGCAUAGAUGACGUGAAUUCUCAGCUUGCUUCUGGUUGUGGAGCUGUUCUUGGAGUGGUUUCUGACUGAAGAACCAGUUACGCUGUUGAGAAAGACAAAUAAAAACAAACUCACUGGGCCAUCUGGACCAGGUGGUGACACACUUCCUCGCUGGAGCAAUUCAGAGCUUCAACUUGACUUGAGUCGCUGAGCGAGGUGGCGGGGCCUAGUGUAAAGAGCAUCCUACUGGAAGCCAAGACUCCUUGAUCUUAUUCUGCCUCUCCCAUUUGCCUGCUUUUUGGCCUUGGGAAGAAGAUAAGGAAGAUGAGCCAUGAAUAGUCAUCCUGGAACAUGUACAGUUGCAAUUAAAUAAUAUCAUAGUUUGGUGGAAAGGAACUUGGAGAGGAUUUUUGGUCCACACCGCUUCUUCCAUGUGAAGAUGAAUAGCUGAGGUUCCCAGGACUGAUUGAUUAAUUAACCAACAUGUGCUCAUCCCAUCACCCCACCUCUGGCCCUGGCAGGACAGAAAGUUGUUUAGCUCUCUCCAUUGGGGCCACUGACUUGUGUUUGCCCUCAGAGGCUUUGUGGGAAUGUGCCCUUGAAAAAAAGUUGCUGGCAGUUGGUUUCAUCGUGAACACCAGCCAAGCCAACCCAGAAUCGAUGAAACGGACCCCAGGUGGGACAACAAGGAGAAUGGAGGGUCGCUAUCUCGGCUGACCAUUCCUCACGGUGUUUCCUGUGGGCCGUCUGCCAAUCCAACAGAGCAGAUUUCCUGGAAGGCUUACUGAACCGUCUUGUGUCCCCUGCACUUCACCACCACUACCUCCUGUGCCUUGCCAUAUUUUUGCCAUCAUCACUGACAGAAGAAGAGACUAGAAUCAAGAGUGAGAAAUGCUCCUCAGAAGCUACGUUAUAAAACCCUAAAACGGAAAGGAAACUCCAGACAUCUCCCAGGCCAAGCCCCUGCCGCCUCAACGGAUGACAUUGGAUCCAUAUUUUGGGAUACUAUGUGCACACAUAAAUGACCCUUCACAGGUGCCUCCUGGAUAUGAUUGGAUGAAAGACAAGGCCCACUGAGAGUACUACAGAGCCAGCCAUGGAUCAAGAGCUUGUAUGCAGGGCUGCAAAAACGAGCAGAGACAGAGGACACUCUCUGACAGGUUGACUUUUCCAGUAGUCACAGAUGAGUUGAGACUGUUUGGACAGUUCACUCAAUGAGCUGUGCAGUGAUGUAAAGGGAUUCUAACUGACCUCACUGCUUCAUCUAUCCCCGCACUUGGCAAAGGCUCUUGUCACCAUCUCCUAUUCAUCUGCUACUCUGUAUUCCUGGCAUUUGAAAGGCUAUUAAAAAGCAGAGCACAUUUUUUGCUCUAUUUAAUCACUGAAGAUUAUACCUGCAACAUUUCUGAAAAGGGAAUAAAAUUAUGAAGCUGAGCUGGACUUCCUCUUAGAGCAAUCAAACCAGGAGGAAAAUGUCUUUCUGUCAGCUUUCGCCUUUUGAAAGUUUUGAAUGUUAAAUAUGAAAUGCUGUGACCUUGUACAGCUGAUCGGAGCCAGGAGAUCUCAUGAACUUCAAAGACGACACUGAACUUGGAUCACGGCUGCAGAGGAGAGGGCCGAACCCCUCAUCUUGACCGAUUAAUCCGGUGCCAUUUGGAUGCCUCUACGUGCUGAAUGCGAUAAUUACAAGAGCAUCAGCAGAAUCGAGGAAGAGAGGCCUGGGCAGACGGCAGGAAAAAAGAGAAGUGUGUUGGAUUGGGAAAUGCACACAAGAACCGACCAAAGACAGAAUGCUGGCUACCAUUCGGAGCUCACAGGAUAUUUUUGGAAAGAAAUCCUGGAACAGUCAAUGGAAAAAGGACAAUCUAAGAACAAGGGCCCACCAUUGAAUAGUAUCCACAGGCACGUUUGUUUCUGAAAUCCCAUCUUAGGCUGAGCACUGUGAAAAAUGUGUUUUGUUUUUCUUUCAAUAUGUCAAUCAUGUGGAAGACAUCAGAAAUUAAUUAUCCGUUUUAUUUCCAAAUUGUGCUGAAAUUAUGAAAACAGACCUGAGCAGUGUAAUUAUAACAAAACAAUCCUGCUGCCUGGCGGAAGAUAAAACAUUAUUGAAAGAGAGAGAGAGAGAGAGAGAGAGAGAGAGAGAGAGAGAGAGAAAGGAGGCAAGGACUGAGUGAGACUCAAUCUCUCAUAGACAAACUAAUUUCUGAAAUGUAACUGCCACAUUUUCUUUUCUUUCCCCAUAUUGUGUCUGAGCAGCUAAAGACAACCUAAACAUCUCAUUUUAUUGUACAAUCACUCAAUCAAUCAAUCCAAUUUACUUAGCACUUACUAUGUGCAGAACACUAUACGAAGCACAUAGGAGAGUACAGUACAACAGAAUUAGCAAACAUGUAUCCUGCCCAUAACUAGCUUAGUCUAGAGGACAUAUUGCCAGUGGAUUUGCUAAACAGAAGUUAAGUAGCUCAACAGUGUUUGAAAAGAAAAAUGGAAUAAAUAGUGACUACUCAAUCUA